rnacentral:lncRNA from 1 species
GACCGUCCUAAUUAGCAGAGCCCUAAUCUUUCCUUGACCAUCUCCUGUUCAGAAGUGGAGAAGUUAUCCAUCAACAGUCCCUGCCUGGAAAGAGCUUGGCUUCUGCCCUCCACAUGGCAUGCGGAUUUCCUUUUAUCUAAGAGAAAACCUAGAGAGAUGAUACCUUGGGACCUUCUAUCAAACAAAUACUCCAGUCCAUAGAUGAAGUUCCACACUAUACCCUGGAAGCUGACAACUCUGCUUGAGAACAGUCACCAUCAUGGGUAUCACCGACCCAACUCUGGACAACAUGCUGCAUCCAUGAACUGUUCACAGAACUCUGGAAAAACCUUCUUUCAUUAAGCAAACAUCUUAAUAAAACGACCUGCCCUCUCCUGCUGUGCAUGUGCAUUGCACACACAGUGGUAAGGCUAAUUGUGCUUAUCCUGACAUGAAUGUCCACAGAGGACUCUGGGCACAAUUCUACCACACUAGCAGCAGAUGUGAGUCACUGGAAUAAGUUCUUCAUCAGUAAAGGUGCUGAAAUGUGGAGUCCAAGAGAGCCCCGGCUCUGCACAGAGAAGACAUCUGGGAGAUGCUAAUUGAAGACUGAAGAAAAAUGAGAGCAAUUCCAUGGUCUCUGAUCUAAAUUAUACAUUCACCCUCUCCUGGCUCUUUGAGACACAUAAUAGAUGAAUAAAAAGAGCAAAACUUUGGAGCAUUAA